rnacentral:lncRNA from 1 species
AUAAGGGUAAAACUAUAAUUUGAAACCAUUUACUCCGCUUCUCAUUCUAGUAAGAGGAAACAACUUGCUCCCACUCCACACUCUCAAUCACAAGAUUCUCACUUCUCAAGAUUUCCACUAUAAUUUAAAAUGUAAACACCGUUUAGAAUGUCAAAUAAAAUUCUCAAUUAAGUAAACCAUAAGGUGAUUGCAUAUAAAAAAAUUAAUAAUAUUAAUUUUCAUAAGAAUUUAUGCUCGUAGUAUUACUUUACUUUUUAUUAACCGUUGCUUCAACUUAUGGUAGAUUGUAACAUAUGCACUUUAAUUUUCUUAAUUAAGUGUAUUAUUUAAUUUUUCCCAUUCGAUGUUAAUUUUAAAUUUUUCAUGACAUAAAAUUGAGAAAAUUCGAAUACGAUUCAAUGGCCGUGUAGUUGGAUUUUAUUCAACACAGGUCCGACAUUAACUUAGAUAGUAGUAAUCUUUAAAAAAAAAGCUAGUUUCUAUAAAUGGAAUUGGGGGAGCUGAUUUCCAAAAGAGGAAAGAAAGAGGGGCACACGAGAGAGAAGGGGGGAGAGAGAGAGAGAAGUUGACCCGUUUAGCCCGACCCGACUCCAACUCCCGUUUCUGGCCACCAUUCCGAUCAAGCUUGGUACCAAUCUGAAGCUUGAGCGACGCUGGCCAUAUCCCUGUUGUCAUCGUCACCGGAAAACAGCCACAAUGCCGGUGAACACCGGUGAUCGCUGUCAAUCUCGUUGGAAUUAGGUUGCACCAUCAGCUGGGUUCGACUCCUCACGUCACCAGCUUUCAUUUCCGACUAACCCCGCCACCUGAAACCUCUGUUUUGGCCAUGAACGACCGCCGGAAAGCUCACGGCUUUGGGAGCACGAUCUGCCACCAUCGCAGCGUGUGGGAGGUCAUCGUCGACGCCAUUAGGCUCACCGAGGUCAGAACUAUCAGACUUGAGCUUUCCGUCGUCAUUGACUGAAGUCCGGUCACCGUUGAGCAGUGGGGGCAAUUUGGUAAUUUCACAAGACUUUAAGGUGGAUUUGUAAUUUGGUAAUUUUAGGUUAGGGCAGUGAGGUAAUUUAAGACUUUGAGGGUAAUUUGGUAAUUUAAGUUAUUAAGAGCAUUUUGGUAAUUUCGCACUUCGAGGGUAAUUUCUUAAAUUCAAAACUUGUGAUUAAUUUUGUUAUCCAAAUUGAGGACAAUUUGGUAGUUUAAGAUAUUGAAGAUGAUUUGAUAAAUUAUGAUUCCGAUGGUACUUCGGUAAAUUUCGGUGUCAGGGGCCUUUUGGUAAUUUUUUGACAUAAGGGUAAUUUUGAAAUUUUAUGUAUCCAGGAGUUUGGUUUUGAGCUUUAUUUCAUACUGUUAGUCAUAUUUCAUGAUACAGAUAAUAAUUAUAUCGUUUAUUUAAUUAGGAGGACUCGCGAGCAAAAAUCAACCUGCAGAUGUUGGUGAUACCGAGUCUAGACAUUGUCACUGUGAGUGGAAUAUACAAAACAUAUUUUCAUAGUAUAUUUUGAUUUUACCAUAUAGUACAACAUGUUUUGAUAAUAAGUAUUUGAUGCUUUGAUUUAAUGAUUUUCUAGAAAUUUGAUUUUCAUUCUACAUGCUGAUAUUUAUUAUUAUUGAAAAUUAGUUUGAUUAAUGAUUUUAUUGUCAUUUUUUUUAGUAAAUGCAUGAUAUUAGAAUUGAGUGGGUUUGAGAUAUGUUGAAUAAAAAGGAAAUGGGAUUUUAUAUGUGAUUAUAUGUUUACGUGCAUGUGUAUAAAAGAUUGUUUGGAAAAUCAUUGGAAGUACCUUUCCCCUUUCAGAUACAGAGAUACAAAUAAUAUGAGAUGAAUAUAGUGAUACAGAUGAUAUGAGAUGAGAGGUUUUUAGGGUUCGUCUGAACACGCACAAAGACUUUGGGCCGUGUGUUUGGAUGAUUUUGCCUUUUAGGGGCUUAUGCAUACAAUAUGAUGAUUACAUAGAUACAGAUGUUGAGAUACAUGAGAUAUAAGAUGACAUUUUCCUAUAUAUCCGUUGUAGCUCCAAGGCAUGAUGGUUCCCUGAUUGCCCGUUCGUCGAGGUCCGAAUAUGAUGAGAUUAUUCCGUCUGGGUACUUGUUUGAUGAUAGUUUUUUGUAUCUAGUAUUUGAUAUUAUAAGUAUUAUGAUUUCAUUGAUUUUAUGCAGAUUUAUGUAAUAUUAUUAUUUCAGUGCAUGAAUUGAAUUAAAUAAGUUUAUGUAAGUUCUUAUAAAAUUUUGAUGAAAUUAACUUGGAAAAGAUUAAAUCAUUUUAAAUAAAUUUAUUUUUCCAAAAACUACUAUCCACUCACUAAGCUCGCUGAGUUUUAUACUCACCUCAUUUUUAUUGUAUUUUUCCUCCCACAGGAGAUUUGCAGGUACAUCAGUCGACCCGGCAACGAUAGUUAGAUUGAAAUUAUGGCCACGUGAUGGUGUUAGAAAUCAUAGAUGUUUUGUUGGGACAUGUUGAAUUGUAUAAUUUAUUACUUAUUUGUGAUUAAGGAUAAAUCAUUAUAUUCUUGACAUUAUAUGAUUGAAGGAUACUGAUAUUUAAAUUGAGGAAGUUGGUUGUGGAUGUUGAUUAAAUAUUGUAUUAUUUUUGGGAGUAUUAAUUGUAUAAAUUGUAGGUUUGGGGAUGUCAUAAUUAUAUAGGAGACUGUCGAAUUUUUGGUAAAAUUCUUAGAUAUCAAAAUUCUUAUUAGUUCGAUUAGGCAAGAUUAGAUAGAUUCAUCCUGGGGAUUCGGGGCGGGUCCUUUCAUAGAUAUUAAGAGAACAAUAAUAAUAUAGCUAUAAAUGGUUGCAUACUAUCAAUCAACUUAACACUAUAAUUACCAACAAAUCCUUAAUACUGUAAAUAAUUAAAUUAUUGGGGUUUUAAAAUGACUCUCCAGACUUUGCAUGAUUUCUUUAUAUGUAAGUGCCAUGGUUCGUAUAAGUAAUAUCAGCCACGCUUUGUGUUAUUGUUAAAACAAAUUUAUAAGUACAAUUUGUGAAUUUGUACAAAAUGUGGUAUUAUAAAUUUGAAGCAUGAACCGAGAAGACAAUGUUGUGUCAAUAAUAAAGAAACAAAAAAAAAUUAUAUAAAAUACAGAUGUUGUAGUGUAACUUGUAUUCUUUUUAUUUAUAAUUUUACCUAUCAUGUGAUUAUAAAAAAAAAAUUGAGAUUUUAAAAUUUUGUAAUUGCACUAUUUUUGGAUUAUCAGAAGGCUUCCUCUCCUUAAAGAUGCCCUUAAUCCAUAAAUGGUCCAAAAAAUAAUUCAUGAAAUGAAUUUAUUAUUUUAGAUAAGUUUCAAGUACGCAUACCUUUACUAGCUCCAUAUUGCAUAACUCCUCGUUUCAAUCAAUGGAUACAUUUGUUUACUUUUUCUUUCUUGUAAAUUUUUGAAUGGCCAUAAUUCUAUAGAUAAUUAAUUAAGUGUUAUUGUUAUCAUUAUUUUGUAGAUUUUGUAGAUUUACUAGCUCCAUAAUUCUAUAGAUAAGUUUCAAGUACGCAUACCUUUACUAGCUCCAUAUUGCAUAACUCCUCGUUUCAAUCAAUGGAUACAUUUGUUUACUUUUUCUUUCUUGUAAAUUUUUGAAUGGCCAUAAUUCUAUAGAUAAUUAAUUAAGUGUUAUUGUUAUCAUUAUUUUGUAGAUUUAUAUGUGAGGUGGGGACGUUGGGGGGCAUGGAUCUCAAUAUAGCAGAGGGCCAUAAUAUUUAUUCUUUAAGAGGAACCACAACCAACAUCAAUGCUUUAAGUUCCAUUCCAUGUUCCUUCUAUGCACCAAAUUGCAUAAACAACAUUGAUUAUCCAAGGUCAAAGUCUCUUAAAGACUCUAGUUACAAUACAAAGCAUGGGUUAGCGGCCAAAAUUUUCUUGCAAUGAAAGGCUCGUAAACUGAUGACAGCUGCUGGAUUGUUUUGGGCCCCAAUAGUUUUAAUAUUAUUCUCUUAAAAACAUAUAUGUUGAUUAGAGACGAGAGGACAAAGAUAAUCUGAUUCAGCCAGCUGCAGAAGAAAGAGCACGCAGUGGAGUUCAGAUUUUGAAUUCUCUUGUUAAAUUGUUUUUAAUUUACUACAAGAUAGAAUACGUUGCAGUGUUAAAAAAUACUUUGAACAUCCUAUUUUUGUAUUACAAAUAUACCAAGAUUUAAAUUAUUAUUUUUCUUUAUUAGUAUAAACUAAAUUUUGCCUGAAUUCUCAUCCUUGUAAGUGGAAUUUUAUUGUGAAACUAAUAGUCCUUCCUAGUUGAACUAACUAUACGCAUUGGCUUUCAACCAGCCAUAAUUAGGAGGAGGGCAAACUUCCAAAUAACAUUCCAAAUGGUAUUGCGAAAAUUUUUUUACCCUUUUGGUAAUAAAAAAGAACCUUAUUUCUAGCUCUCUAUUAACAAUCUUACCACAAAGUUCUCUCUUAAGUAGAAACAUUAUAUAUAUUAAUUUAUUGUUAAUAAAAACAAAACCAGUAGCGGAUCUACAGCUGGGCUAGGUCUAGAAAAAAUCAUUUAAACCCCUUGUCUUUUGAUUCAUUUUACAUAAGGAUAGACUUUUAUUUUAUUUUUAUAUAAGUCUCCAAUUCAGUUACAAUUAUGUUUUUGUCAAAUUUCAUAGAAUAAUAGAGUUUUUACUUUAUUUUCAAAUAUGUCCUUAACUCAAUUAUAUUUUUUCCCAACUGGAAUUAAUGACUUAUUUUAUAAAAUAAUUAAAUUAUAUAUUUAUUGAAUAGAUUGAAAACAUUAGGGGUUUAAAAUGUUAUUACAACUUUAAUUUGUUUUUAAAAUUUUAAUUUAACAAAGUAUGUGAAUGUAAUAUAACAUCGUCACUAUUAUUAAAAAUACUAA